ensembl:lncRNA
UGAGAAAGGAGGCAUAGUGGAACCACUGGUUCAGCUCUUCUACAGGUUUUGAAUUUUGGAAGGGCUGUAACAGUCUGCUUUGCUGAAAUGACAAAUGAACAGGACUUGUGUCCUGCAACUGCAAGCUAUGUGGCUUCACCAUGGACUGUUUCAGUCUCCCAUUAGGGAGUCUUGGGCACAAGGACAGUGCUGCUGCACGGGUCGAUAGCUGGGUCAUGGGCCUGGGCAAGCCCUGCUCCCUGUGCUGGUUAAAGCCAGUCUGGAGGUGCUCGCUGCUGGGCGGUGUUCUGCAGUCUGAAUGUGUUAAAUAUAGGAAUAACAGCUGGAAGAAUAGAGGCAGGAGAGUGAACCCGAGGUGAUGAGAAGACAAUACUGGUGAGAAGCAGUGUUUUUACCAGUUUCAGUCAGUUUUCCCCACUUCUCCACUAAAAUUCUGUUUGGAAAAUAACCUUUUUGUCUUCUCCUGCUGGGCUUGUGAUUACAAAUAAAAAUGUAAGAAUGUAUGUGGCCCUCUUGAAUCACAUUUACUGCAUAUCUGUAUUGAAUUAGGAUCUUCCAUACAAGGCAAGGUCUUUUCAGAAAUCUCUUUUGUCACUAAUGUUUUCCAUAAGCCUCCUUUUUCUGGAUGUCAUCUCAUGCCCUAUACUCAUGACAUCUAGCAGGAGUAUUGGAAUUAGAGUGUUCUGACCACUUCCCUGAGUGGAAACAU